GACGAACGCUGGCGGCGUGCUUAACACAUGCAAGUCGAACGGAAAGGCCCUGCUUUUGUGGGGUGCUCGAGUGGCGAAUGGGUGAGUAACACUUUAUUAACCUUCCCUUGACUUUGGGAUAACUUCAGGAAACUGGGGCUAAUACCGGAUAGGAGCUCCUGCUGCAUGGUGGGGGUUGGAAAGUUUCGGCGGUUGGGGAUUGACUCGCGGCUUAUCAGCUUGUUGGUGGGGUAGUGGCUUACCAAGGCUUUGACGGGUAGCCGGCCUGAGAGGGUGACCGGCCACAUUGGGACUGAAAUACGGCACAGACUACUACGGGAGGCAGGAGUGGAGAAUAGUGCACAAUGGGCGGAAGCCUGAUGCAGCAAAGCCGCGUGCGGGAUGAGGGCAUUCGGGUUGUAAACCGCUUUCGCCUGUGACGAAGAGUGAGUGACGGUAAUGGGUAAAGAAGCACCGGCUAACUACGUG
rnacentral:rRNA from 1 species